AAUCUUCACGUGGAGUUCGGCGCAGGGAAUCCGGUGCGAAUCCGGAACGGCCCCGCCACUGUGAGCGCGACGAAACCGAUGGAUGCCAUUGUUCUCCGGCUGUGGCCGGGACGAGAAGGCUCGGGAGUAGGAGGACCGCAAGCCAGGAGACCUGCCGAACGUCCGUUUUGCCG
rnacentral:ncRNA from 2 species